rnacentral:rRNA from 1 species
GAUGAACGCUGGCGGCGUGCCUAAUACAUGCAAGUCGAGCGAACAGAUGAGGAGCUUGCUCCUCUGACGUUAGCGGCGGACGGGUGAGUAACACGUGGAUAACCUACCUAUAAGACUGGGAUAACUUCGGGAAACCGGAGCUAAUACCGGAUAAUAUAUUGAACCGCAUGGUUCAAUAGUGAAAGACGGUUUUGCUGUCACUUAUAGAUGGAUCCGCGCCGCAUUAGCUAGUUGGUAAGGUAACGGCUUACCAAGGCAACGAUGCGUAGCCGACCUAAGAGGGUGAUCGGCCACACUGGAACUGAGACACGGUCCAGACUCCUACGGGAGGCAGCAGUAGGGAAUCUUCCGCAAUGGGCGAAAGCCUGACGGAGCAACGCCGCGUGAGUGAUGAAGGUCUUCGGAUCGUAAAACUCUGUUAUUAGGGAAGAACAAAUGUGUAAGUAACUAUGCACGUCUUGACGGUACCUAAUCAGAAAGCCACGGCUAACUACGUG